rnacentral:rRNA from 1 species
GACGAACGCUGGCGGCGUGCUUAACACAUGCAAGUCGAACGGUGGCGCGCCUUCCUCUUUGGCGGGCGUGGAUGAGUGGCGAACGGGUGAGUAACACGUUAGUAACCUGCCCCCUCCUUCUGGAUAACCGCAUGAAAGUGUGGCUAAUACGGGAUAUUCUGUGUCUGUCGCAUGAUGGGUCUGUGAGAGAUAUUGUUUCGGUGGGGGCUGGGGUCGCGGCCUAUCAGCGUGGUGGUGGGGUGAUGGCCUGCCAAGGCGGUGACGGGUGGCCGGCCUGAGAGGGUGGACGGUCACAGUGGGAGUGAGACGCGGCAGAGACUCCUGCGGGAGGCAGCAGGGGAGAAUAGUGCACAAUGGGCGAGAGCCUGAUGCAGCGACGCCGCGUGAGAGAUGGAGGCCUGCGGGGUAUGAACCUCUUGCGCGAGUGAAGCAGGCCUGCCUCGUUUGUCGGUGGGUUGACGGUAGCUGGAUAAGAAGCGCCGGCUAACUACGUG